rnacentral:rRNA from 1 species
GAUGAACGCUAGCGGCAGGCUUAAUACAUGCAAGUCGAACGGUAACAGGAGAGCUUGCUCUUGCUGACGAGUGGCGCACGGGUGCGUAACGCGUAUGCAACCUACCUUACACAGGGGGAUAGCCCGGAGAAAUUCGGAUUAAUACCCCAUGGUACUAUAAAGCCUCCUGGUUUAAUAGUUAAAGCAUUGUGGUGUAAGAUGGGCAUGCGUCUAAUUAGCUAGUUGGUAAGGUAACGGCUUACCAAGGCUACGAUUAGUAGGGGGUCUGAGAGGAUUAUCCCCCACACUGGCACUGAGAUACGGGCCAG